rnacentral:lncRNA from 1 species
CUGGUCGAAAGAGCUAAGAAAAAACAGAGAAAAAGUAUCUAUACCAUGUUAUUGGAGCUUACUAAGGGUCCCGUUAUCAGUUUAUCUCUAAAAUUUAUUUACUUAUUCUACCACCAUUCACUUGGUCUUUUUGCAAGAAAAUACCAAUGUCUUGAGUAUUCCACCACCACACUUAGUCUUUUCGCAAUAAAAUACCAAUGUCUUGUGUAUUAAUCAUAAAGGUUGUUACCUUCUCUCUUUUUUUGAAGUUUACUAAUGUUACAUGUAUAGUAAUAGCAUAAGGUAGAGGCAGACCACAAGCCUUAGUUCUAG